AUAGCCCUGCAAGUCCACCCUCCUGUCUACCCCCAGAUGGGCCACCAACUUCACUGCCUCUCCCCUCCAGCCAGUGAGUAUGCCCCAGGGUCCUGCUAAGGAGAGUCCAGCACAAGAGCCUGAGAGCAAGAGCCAGGGAACAGGAGCCAAGUGGCUUGGGAGCUCAGAUGAUGUCAGCUCUUCUAAUAUUAUUGAGGCAAUAAAAGGCUUUCUAGCUGUGGUGUGCACGGAAAAGCUAUAUUAACAGGACAUCCUGCGCGGAUAACUAUGUGGAUGACGCUGGCCUGACGUGCUCGCAAGCGCCCCCUGGCUUCUGGCUCUUCAAAAUAACUUGUCAUAUGGGCAAGACAAUGUUUGUGCUGAGUGUUUUCGGGUUUUGCUUCUUUGUUUGAGUUGUUGUGUAGUGCCUUCUAAUUCUCUGCCAGCUCCUACAAGCCUGGAACCGAAUUUUAGAGUUGGAAAGGACCUUGUUCUACCUUCCCAAGGGAUGUCAGGCUCAGAGAGGGUAAGUGACCUCUUGGAGGCCACACAGCAGGUGGAUGCAAGCUAUACCCAGCCGGCAUGGGUGUUCCCAUCCUACAGUAGGGGUCGAAGAACACAGGAUCUGCAGCGAGGCAGACUGAGUGGGAGCCCAGGUCGGCCAAUCCCACUCUCACUGUGUGUCCCUGGGCAUGUGACAACUACCCUCUCUGAGCUUUAGUGUCCUCAGCUAUAAAAUGACAAGAAUGACAGAACCCACCUGCCCAGGUUGUUGGGAGGAUUAAAUAUUGACCUGCUUUUACAGCAACAGCACAGACUCUGACACCAGUUCUUGCUAAGGGGUGGCAACAUCACUGUAAUUUGACCCCAGAGGAAUCGUCUAUCCACCAGGAUACUGGCUGAAGCCGAAUGGACAUGCUCUGUGUGUUCUCAGCAGCAAGUUUAUCCAUUCUGGUGUCAGAUCUGAAGGCAAAACUUCAAGACACUUUCCACUCUGCCACUCAGUCUCUGUGCUGAAAACCAGCACUGUUGCAUGAUCAUAAACCCUGGAAAUAGUACCUUAAAAACUAGCAGGUGGGACUGGGGGCAAGAUGUGACCAUCGAGGGUAGCUCGAGGGAACUUCUUUGGGGUGGUAGGUUUCAUUGGAACAGUUCUGUGUCGUGACUGUGGUGUUGGUUAUACAGAAAUAUAGACUGUAUUUAUACUAGGAGUAUAAUACAUAUACAUAUGUAAUUUUUAUUAAAUAGUUGAAUACAUAUUUAAUUAAAUAAUACAUAUAUGUAUUUAUACUGAAUUUAACUAUGCUAAAAUUCCAUAGAACUAGACAGAAAAAAAUGAGUGUACGUAAAAACUAGUGAAAUCCAAAUAAAGCAUGUAGUUUAGUUAACAGUAUUGUACCAAUGUCAAUUUCCUGUUUUGGUAUUUGUGCUAUGGUUAUGUAGGAUGUUAUCACUGAGGGCAGGCGAGAACUCUUUGUGCUAAUGCUACAACUUCUAUGCGAAUCAAAAAAAUAAAAAGUUUAGACACAAAAAAUAAAGAGAUAGUUUGGCA